rnacentral:rRNA from 1 species
UACGUAGGUGGCAAGCGUUGUCCGGAAUUAUUGGGCGUAAAGCGCGCGCAGGUGGUUCUUUAAGUCUGAUGUGAAAGCCCCCGGCUCAACCGGGGAGGGUCAUUGGAAACUGGGGAACUUGAGUGCAGAAGAGGAUAGUGGAAUUCCAAGUGUAGCGGUGAAAUGCGUAGAGAUUUGGAGGAACACCAGUGGCGAAGGCGACUCUUUGGUCUGUAACUGACGCUGAGGCGCGAAAGCGUGGGGAGCAAACAGG